UCAACCCCCUCGGGUUUUGCGACCCGUUGGGCGUUGGACUUGGGCGCUGCGUCCCGGCUCGCCUCAAAGGCUGUCAGCGAUGUCGUACCUCUUGCUGCGGAUGUCAUAAGUUUCAUCCCGGGCCAGGGCGAGGCUUGCUCCUAACCACCAAUCGUUUCCACUCUGACCUCAAAUCAGGUAGGGCUACCCGCUGAACUUAA
rnacentral:misc_RNA from 1 species